rnacentral:lncRNA from 1 species
ACAUGGAUCCUGCAGCAGGGCAAACAAAAAGAACCAAACAUUGUAUUUGUUAUCAAAAUGUAUAAUUCCAAGGGGAAGAGUACUAGUUUGCAGAGUUAAAGAUAGAACUAACUGGUUUGAAAGGUAAUGCACUUUAUUAUCUUCUCCCUCAAUGUGCUUCAGCUCCCUCAGUUUCAUUAUCUUCCCCUGUUAUUGAACUAGA